CAAGCUUAGUCGGUUUGGUUUGCUCGCGAAACCAAAACACUAAACUCAACCGAUUCUCCACCGGGGGACAUUUGAGGUCCUGGCCAGACGUUCCGGGGAACGGCAAAUUGGUCCCAACGAUCGGGUUAUUUAUUUAUGUGAUUUAUCAAUUUAUUUUUCUGCCCUGGCCAGGGGGCUCCGGAAAAACGCGUUGCGUUGUGGCACUUGAUAGGAGGAGAUUUUAGACGACAACCCGCGAACAAUCUGCCUUUGACAACGCGCAUCGGAAAAUCCCGGGUGGAAAACGCGGCGAAAAAAUCAGCUCGUCGACGGCAAUAAAAGCAGAUUAUAAGCUCGUAUCGGUCAGCAGUUGAACAAUAAAAAUGGGACCAAAGAAGGCAAAAGGAAG